AGAAUUUUCUGUCUCAUUUGUCAACUUCACACUGUGAACCCCCAAAAGAGUUGUCUUCAAAAUAAUUGCCCUUGUUGCUUCUCUUUACAGAGUUCUCCCCACAUUAUUAAUGGUAUGGGAAUUAGGAGAAGGUCAUCUGACUCACAUGGAUCACCAUAUAAUUCCUUCUGGAGAACAGAAAAAAUGCAGAAGAGGAAAACCUCCAUAUGUGAAGCUAUGGCAAGGGAGUCUCCCCACCCCGCGCUCCAACAGAGUCUGGAGAUAAAACCUCUCCUCGACAGGAAGCUUACAUUUCCCUGCCACCUUGAAGUUAGGCAUAGUCACCUGAACUUCUUUGCCCAAUGAAAUGUGAAUGUAAUAAGAUGAUGUAUAUGACUGCUAGGUGAAUGCAUUUAAUCACUGGUGUUGUCCCUCCUCUCUAUUUCUGGGUUUCUUGUUAAUGGAAGCAUUACAAGUUGAUUUGGAAGUGCAAUGCUGAGCCAUCACUUAGAGGACAGUUGCUCUAGAGAAUCUUCCCACUUACCACCAAUUCACUGUGAGCAGGAAACAAAGCUUUGUUGUGUUAUGUCUUUAAAAUUUGGGGUUGGCUGUUAGCUUAUCACAAUGUAGCCUGUCCUUUGUUUUAGGAUUGACAAUACAAUCCCAAGAUGAUGCUUUGCCAUUAGACAUAUCAUAAGGGCAUCAAUAUAGCCUAAAUUUUAGUUCAAAAAAACACUCUCUUUUUACAGAUUGUUAAUUAAUAUAUAAACAUCCUCCUUCUUUUUCCUCAACAUUUCAUCUACACUUUUCCCAGCACUGUUAGUAUUUUCCCUGCUAUGUGUGAAGACUUUAGAAUAUGUAGAAUAGCAGAAUAUGUAUAUUGAAUAAGAUACAAUAAAAUACUGUUUCAAAGUUUAAAAUGAGAAAGCAUCUGUCCAAUUCACAUGGCCCAUCCAACUAAGUAAAAUAAUACCAAAGUCACUCAAUAAAUAAACUGUUAAUGGAAACCUUGAAUUCAUAACUAUCUGAUCCUAAACUUCACAUUAUUUGCACUAAAAUCGUAACCUUUUCCUAGCUAAUGAAACCUAGCUUCUAAAGUUGCCAUGAGGCUUAAAUGGGAUAUCAUGUUCAAAGCAACCAGUCCAGAUUCUGGCAUCAAGAAAUUCUCAAUAAAUGUUAAUUUAUCUUCGGAAAAACUCAAGAUGCCCC
rnacentral:lncRNA from 10 species